UACGAAGGGGGCUAGCGUUGUUCGGAAUCACUGGGCGUAAAGGGCGCGUAGGCGGCCGCUCAAGUCGGGGGUGAAAGCCUGUGGCUUAACCACAGAAUUGCCUUCGAUACUGUUUGGCUUGAGACCGGAAGAGGUGAGUGGAACUGCGAGUGUAGAGGUGAAAUUCGUAGAUAUUCGGAAGAACACCAGUGGCGAAGGCGGCUCACUGGACGACUGUUGACGCUGAGGUGCGAAAGCGUGGGGAGCAAACAGG
rnacentral:rRNA from 1 species